rnacentral:tRNA from 1 species
UCCGAAAUAGCUCAGCGGUAGAGCGGAUGGCUGUUAACCAUUAGGUCGGGGGUUCAAAUCCCUCUUUCGGAGCCA